rnacentral:ncRNA from 14 species
CUUCCUGAGGAGCGUUGCAACCCACAUCACGUGGACCAGGCUCAGGACUUCAUUGCAACCACGCUCACCCGCA